rnacentral:pre_miRNA from 14 species
GUUUGGUAUUGAAAGACCCCCGACGUGGGGAGACCCUCACUCAAGUCUCGGGAUGACGCGACCCCCCAAGAACUCACGAGAGACU